rnacentral:rRNA from 1 species
GCAACUCGCCUACAUGAAGUUGGAAUCGCUAGUAAUCGCGAAUCAGAAUGUCGCGGUGAAUACGUUCCCGGGUCUUGUACACACCGCCCGUCACACCACGAGAGUCUACAACACCCGAAGUCAGUGGCCUAACCGCAAGGAGGGAGCUGCCUAAGGUGGGGUAGAUGAUUGGGGUGAAGUCGUAACAAGGUAGC